CCUGGCGGCUGUAGCAAGCAGUGGUCCCACCUGACUUACGCCGAACUCAGAAGUGAAACGCCGUAGCGCCGAUGGUAGUGGGGCCUCCCCAUGCGAGAGUAGGGAACUGCCAGCA
rnacentral:rRNA from 1 species